GCAAAAGGCAGUCAGAAUCUUGACCAGAAAGUCUCCGUCCGUGGAGUUGCGGUUUCCGUUAGAAAGCGUACGUGGUCUUAUACUUGGUUCUCUUCUUUCUUCCACUGUUUUGAUGGGUUUGGUUUUCUAUGCGGUUCGCACAGUUUCUCUUCCUACCGCAAAAAAAUUAUAACCCUCCGGUUCCAUUUUCUCGGAAUCUCCAAUUUCCGUUAAUCAGCUCUCUUUUAUAUCUCUUUCUCUCUCUCUCUCUCUCUGCGGGUUCGAUAUUCCAGUUCUCGAACCGAGAACUUUUUCUUUUUCUUUCUUGAAUUUCCGAAGCUUUAGAGAGAGAAAAAAAUAUUGUUUUUGAGUAGUGUUGCGGAUUUUUUUAUUUUAUUUUUUUCUGGUUUUUGUUGCCGAAAAUCAUCGGCUUUUACUUUCUGCUUCGUGAGCUUCGACAUCUUUUUGGAUUUUUCGAGGCUGUAAUUUGAGCUCGCGAUGAUGGUGCACUUCUUCUACUCGCAGUGCGCGAAAAUACGAAGUGGUUUGGUUUUUUCUCCUUUUUUCUUAUAAGAAAGCAUAAGAAUUAAGGAGCAGAGCUAAAAUUUUCGUAAAGGAUCGUGUGUUCUUUUACCGGUGCUUGAACUAUUUCUUCGAACCUAGGGUUUCUGGAGCGCUAGGUGUAUUAUUCUUUCUGGUUCGAUUUUGCUUGUAUAUGGAAAGUUGUUUUUUGAAGAAGCAUUCGAAGUGAAACUCGGUGAUGGUUAUAGAUUAUUCAUUUGAAAUUAGAAUCUUUCUAUGCUUGCAAGUGAGCUAGACGGAAGUUUGGAGUAGCUGGAUUUGGAUUGCAAUAGCCAGUUGUAUGAGAUUAAGAGCUUAUCUGAACAAUGGAUAUCGAUGCUUCUGGGGAUGUUACAUCUUUGGAUCCUGAGCUGUUGCAGCUUCCGGAGUUGUCUCCAUUGGCCCUAAAAACGAAUCCGCAAAUUGCCGAGGAUUUGUUCGCUCAGUGGCUUUCCCUUCCUGAAACUGGACGACUGGUGAAAUCUUUAAUUGAAGAUGCAAGAGCGGGCACUCCGUUUAAUGCCCUUGGAAACUCAAACAGCGUCAAUGUUGCUGGGAGCAAUAUGUUGCCUUCUAUGUUUCCUGCGGCCACCACCCCUCCACUCUCUCCGAGAAGUUCAUCUGGUUCUCCACGCGUGUCAAAACAGCGAACCAGUCCUUCUUCACUUGGUUCUCCUCUAAAGUUAGUUACUGAACAAGUUCGAGAAGUCAUUCCUCAGUUCUAUUUCCGAGAUGGUCGUCCUCCAUCGAAUGAUAUAAAAGAACAAUGCCUCUCUAGGAUUAAUGACAUUUUCAACAAAAAAAUGGAUGGAUUGCAAAUGCAUGAAUUUAAGUCGAUUACAAAGGAAAUAUGCAGGCUUCCUUCUUUUUUCUCCUCUCCGCUUUUCAGGAAGAUAGACACUGACGACACUGGGAUAGUUACUAGGGAUGCAUUCAUUAAAUAUUGGGUUGAUGGAAAUAUGCUGACAAUGGAUACAGCGACUCAGAUGUUUAAAAUUUUAAAGCAGCCUGCUUGCAAUUACCUUUCCAAGGUAGACUUCAAACCUCUUCUUCUAGAGCUUUUGGCAACACAUCCAGGGUUGGAAUUCUUACAGAGCACACCAGAAUUUCAAGAGCGAUAUGCUGAAACAGUCAUAUAUAGAAUAUUUUACUACAUCAAUAAAUCAGGAAAUGGUCGUCUUACCCUCAGGGAGCUAAAACGAGGAAAUCUAAUUGCUGCCAUACAACAUGCAGAUGAGGAAGAAGACAUUAACAAAGUACUAAGAUACUUCUCAUAUGAACAUUUUUAUGUUAUAUACUGCAAAUUUUGGGAGCUGGAUACAGACCAUGAUUUCUUGAUUGACAAGGAGAACCUCAUCAGAUAUGGCAACCAUGCUCUUACCUACAGAAUUGUUGAGAGAAUAUUUUCACAGACUCCAAGGAAGUUUACUAGCAAGGUUGAAGGUAAGAUGGGUUAUGAAGACUUUGUUUACUUCAUGCUGUCAGAGGAGGAUAAGUCAGCUGACCCUAGCCUUGAAUAUUGGUUCAAAUGCAUAGAUUUGGAUGGAAAUGGAGUCCUUACACCCAGUGAGUUGCAGUUCUUUUAUGAGGAGCAGCUUCAUCGUAUGGAAUGCUUGGCCCAAGAACCUGUGCUUUUUGAGGAUAUUUUGUGUCAAAUAAUUGAUAUGGUUGCGCCAAAGAGGGAAGAAUAUAUCACACUGAACGAUUUGAAAGGAUGCAAACUCUCAGGAAACGUUUUCAAUAUCCUUUUCAAUCUUAAUAAGUUUAUGGCUUUUGAAAGCCGUGAUCCAUUUCUUAUUCGUCAGGAACGUGAAGAUCCCACUAUGACAGAGUGGGACCGCUUUGCUCAUAGAGAAUAUAUUAGGCUUUCAAUGGAAGAAGAUGGCGAAGAUGCCUCCAAUGGAAGUAUAGAAGUGUGGGAUGAAUCAUUUGAAGCUCCAUUUUAAGUUCAAUGAGCUGAUUGUUACAGAAUUCGCUAGUCUUUCUUUGAAGUUGGUUGUUUAGUGAAGAAACAUUUCACUUUGGCAAUGCGCUGCGAAACACAAAUCAGGUGCUCCCUUUUGUCCAGUCAGCGUUGGCCUUGUGGAGCUGAAACUGAAGGUGAGCUAUAGAAUGGAGUUUACAGUGGCAUAUUUCCUGUCUGGUGAGUAAUCAUUGGCCAGGAGGGAGGAUAAUGCCUUGUGCAGCGACCACUCAGCGGUGACCAUCGCAGUCUUGCCAGUGGUGUUCCCUUAUAUUUGUAACUAAUUAAACAUUAAACAUAGUGGGGUUGCCUAUUAAUUGUAAAUAAUUAAAUAUGGUCUUUUGAAAUAAGGCUAAUAGAUUGAACUUAAAAGAUUUACGAAAACCAAGCAACUAUAUGAAAUGAAAAAGAGACGGAAGGAAAAAUAAGCAUCACCCACUAGUGGCGUGGCCUCAAUUAAAUAUCGGGUUUUUGAGAAUAUUAUGUCUUGAUCACAUAUGAAAUUUGAGUGAUAUUGAAGCAAUAGAUUACAGAAGCUUAACCCUUCAUAAUUGAUUUGCACGGUUAUGGCUAUGGUAGACUACAGGACUAUUAGUUCGGGGCAUAUACAGUGUGUACAUGUGUUUAUAUGUACAUAUUUAGAACCUUUUUUUGGCUGAAAAAAAAGGGCACGACGGUAACCAUAUAUGAUAAAUCAAUCUUCUUAUUAACACGAAAUUCCUAUAACUUGAAAAAGCAGAUACCAUGAGAAUAGCAGACGAAUUAACGGACAUUAUAAAACCAUUAUACAUCAGACAAGAUGCAUGGAGCAAGCUACGUCAUAUGUAUCAGGCAAAAUGCAGGCUAUGAAAACCUUUAAAAGAUAUCCUUUGUAGAACUAAACUGUCAAAAUAAUGAUUUAAAUAGAAGUCCCAAGAAUCAAUGGUUCCUUCUACCUAUCAGUACAAUAUAGAAAACUAUCCAGAACUGAGAACCACUUGAAAAAAAAGCUGGAAUAACAAAAAAGUACAAACUCAUGCUGCACUCCCCUUUUUGAGCUUUGCCAGCUCCUGCCUGAUGAUU